AACAGGAGUACUGCCUCCACUAGUUCAGCAUCAUCUCAACGAAAACAUUUAAAACUUCAUCAAAUCAACUAUGUAUAGAGGUAAGGGGACUAUAUACAGGGUCAGUACCAUAUUAACAAUGUACAGGGAUACUGGAGUGAUGGAGGUAGAUAUGUAUAGGAGACAGGGAUACUGGAGUGAUGGAGGUAGAUAUGUAUAGGGGGAAGGAGACAGGGAUACUGGAGUGAUGGAGGUAGAUAUGUAUAGGGGGAAGGAGACAGGGAUACUGGAGUGAUGGAGGUAGAUAUGUAUAGGGAGAAGGAGACAGGGAUACUGGAGUGAUGGAGGUAGAUAUGUAUAGGGGGAAGGAGACAGGGAUACUGGAGUGAUGGAGGUAGAUAUGUAUAGGGGGAAGGAGACAGGGAUACUGGAGUGAUGGAGGUAGAUAUGUAUAGGGGGAAGGAGACAGGGAUACUGGAGUGAUGGAGGUAGAUAUGUAUAGGGGGAAGGAGACAGGGAUACUGGAGUGAUGGA